rnacentral:rRNA from 1 species
GACGAACGCUGGCGGCGUGCUUAACACAUGCAAGUCGAGCGGUAAGGCCCUUUCGGGGGUACACGAGCGGCGAACGGGUGAGUAACACGUGGGUGACCUGCCCUCAGCUCUGGGAUAAGCCUGGGAAACCGGGUCUAAUACCGGAUAUGACUCCAUGACGCAUGUUGUGGGGUGGAAAGCCUUGUGCGGCUGAGGAUGGGCCCGCGGCCUAUCAGCUUGUUGGUGGGGUGAUGGCCUACCAAGGCGACGACGGGUAGCCGGCCUGAGAGGGCGACCGGCCACACUGGGACUGAGGCACGGCCCAGACUCCUACGGGAGGCAGCAGUGGGGAAUCUUGCGCAAUGGGCGAAAGCCUGACGCAGCGACGCCGCGUGAGGGAUGACGGCCUGGUGUACU